GUGUUCCACCUAGAUACCUACUAUCUUUUAAUCCAAGAACAUCCUGAAUGCUGGGAUUCUGCUUCACAGUGGAAACAAAAAUAGUAAAUUGCAGUUUGUCUGAAGUAAAACAUACACAUCUGUAAUGUCUCUUGAGACACCAACACAAGGGCAAAAAUUAUCUGCCUCUUGCUCCCCCAGCAUUCUGUGAGCAGUCUGUGACAUGAAGGGUGAUUCAAGGUCUCACUUUUUGUACUGGAGGCGUGAGUGGUCUGGUCUUACCUUACAAACUGUAAUAAGCUCUCUGAGGGGACGGAAGGGAACUUGAGUCUGGCCAGGAACCUGUGUAAAUUUGGAGGUGGUGGAAAAAAAUAAUCACCCCACAACCUCCUACCUCUUCUAAGUAAGAAUGCUCCUCUAUUUUCACUGUCCUCCCCUACUCGCCCUGGGAGCAUUCCCAGAUCUGAAACUGGAUUGUAAAGACUCCAUUCACACCUCGAUAGUUCCGACAAUUUCUCUGUCCCUCCCCUCAUACAUCCAGCCCUAUUUUUUAGAUUUAUUUUGUGCCUUAAAGAAUAAUUUCAGAAAUAAAAUGUAGCCAGAUAUCUUGUGGUGUUCUUUUAUUUGCUUGGAGUUAUUUUUCCCUUUACCCUUUUAGUCUUUUAUCAAUGUUUCUCAUUUUCCAGGCCUGCAGUAAUUGCUAUUUACGUAAAGCCAAGAAAGUUUUAACAUCUGCUGAUGGUGAAUUUAUUCUUAUCUGCAAUAUCACUCAACCCUUUCCUUAUUGUAAUUCCUGAGUAGUUGUUUUUGUCCUGUCAAAAAUACUGCAUAUACAGACAUUGUUUUCCACCAGAGCCUUGCCUGGUUCUUUUGGGAAAACUGCAGUUCAGCCAAAGAAGAAAUCCCUGUGGUGCGGUGCCAUGAGAGCUUCUACCACAUGUUUGCACUCGUUUGGAUGCUCAGUGAGUAUGAAAGGAGGAGCUGGCCUCCCAGUGUGCUUCUCUCUCCCAUCACCUGCCUGCCUCUGCAGGGGGCAUUUUAGAAACUGUUUUAGACACCGGCCUAAGCCUUGUGAAUGAUUGCAAAUGUUCAUAGAUGCUUUCAUGAUGCUUCUGAGCUGAGAAAAGAAGUUGGUGCGUCUCCCCCACUGUCAUUAUAAUUAUAAUGUUAAACUUGCUUUUUGCAGAACAAAAUUAUAACGUACCUGGACAAGAAAGUAGAUGCCAAGAUUGAAUUUUGGCAAUUUUCAGUUGCAUUCCUACACUUCAUCAUCUAGCAAAGGUGUAGACUAUGACAUUUGCUCAUUUCAAUGCUCUCUUUCUCAAAACCAGCAUGUUGAAGUGUGAUGCAAAAUUGAAGAAGUAUCAGAGAAGUUAAAUCCCCAAACAGGGCUGAUGAAAUAUGCUAAGAGAUUAUGGGUUCUGUAGCUGCUGUUCGUUUGUUUAGAACCUUUACAGUGAAAGAAAUGGCACUGCAGACCUCUGUCUGGUUUACUGCACUACUUCAUGUAGCUGGGAGUGUCACUUCUCUCAGGUGAGUUAUGGAUAUUUUCUGUAUGGAAACUUGCAUUUAAAAGUUGAUUUUGGCAAGCAAAAAUUCUGGCUAAAUCCAAGUAUCCUCAGAGAAGGUUCACACUGUGUAACCUUUCCUUUGAACUGCAAUUGUCCCUGUAUUUCUGGUGCUAUUAUAAAAAAUUUUUCUGUGUUUAAGUAAAUGUUCUGGUUGCUUAUUUUAAGGAAUAAUUACUUAAUAAUGUAUUUUGUUUGUGGAAAUAGACUAAAUUUUGGUCCUUAUAAAGACAAUUCUGUAAUAGAGAUUAGAAGAGUUAUUUCCAGUUGAUGGCUGUCAGGUCCUUGGGCAAUUUUUUGUCAGUGUGUCUUUGAGGUGGUACCAAAGAGCCUUUGGCUGUAUCAGUAGUAUGAAGUUUUAAAGUUUGAAAGUUGAAAUAAACAUGAGGAUACAUCCUAGAAUUUCAUUUAUUUAGUUGUGAUUCCAGCCCAGACUAUAUGUGAGCUUUGUUAUAGCUUGAGCUUCCAUUUAGAUUUCUCUUGUUAGGUUUGUCUCCUUUGGGAUAGGUACAAGGUUUGUCUCCUUUGGGAUAAGCAGGGGGUGCAAGUCCUGCGUUAGAGUAUUUUCUUUCCUCCAGUGGAGGUAUUAAUAGGGACAGUGUGUCAGUACAGUUGGAGGUUUUGUGGGCUGCAUAAUCAGAGAAAGAAGACUCAUACUUACUUACUAAAGAUUUAGUUCUUCACUGAACUGACUGUAAAAACUGGCUUCUCUCUUAACAGAUCCAUUUCUGGUCUGUAUGGCAGCAGUUCUAGGGUUUUGGCAGGAUUUUGUGAGACACCCUUGUUGACCAAAGACAUCACAGCUCUGGGGUGAACAAUCACUUCCCCGUUGUUUCAUCCCAGCAGGGAUAUUAUAGGUGAGAUUUCAGUAUCUUGAGCAAGUACUGAUGGAGAAGUGCGUGAUAAAGCAUGGCUUGACUUUAAGAUGCCUGGUUUGGUGCAGAGACCUCCAAGGGAGCUGGUCCUUAAAUCACUGAUGCCCAAAGAGAACUAUGCCAGUUUUGUGCAGUCACUGUCACUGUGGAGCAGAUCUCUGCAGUGAGUUUGCUAACAAACACGAGUAGUGGUUAAUUCCUUACCUCAUGGCAGUUUUCCCAUGUAGUCGAAUGGCUGAUGGUUUUAUUAUCCUCAACCUCGCAGAAGCAUUAAAACUAUUGAAAAACUUUCUGCUAGCAACAAUCAACCAGAAACAGUUUGUUUCUUUUAUAGACUUUAUUUGAAAGUAUUACCAAAAUAUUUGGCAACAUUCAGUACAGGUGUAUUAAUACUGUGCUUCUAGACUGCUCUCUUCAUUAAUGAAAAGUAUCAAUGACUGAAGCCUUCCAAUAAUCCACUUUUUAAUACACUAAAAAUUUCUAAUAUGGCUUUUAAGUGGAAGUGUUGAGUUUGGUUUCUUCUUUGCACUUAAUGCAAACUUUUCCAUCUUUCAGUAUAAAGUAAUUCCUGACUCUGUGUCUGAAUUCUGUGAUUCUGUGCUUUGCUGCUGCCUCUGGGUACAUGACAUUCCAGCAGUACCACGUUGGACCGAGUUGCCCAUGUUUUAGCAAACACAGCACUGACUACAGCUGUGUUUUCAAUCCUCAUUUACUUUUGGUGUGUUUUAGGUUUAAAUUGUUUUCUCUGUGUGUGGUACAAGGGCAUCUGGAUGUCCAGGUUGAAAGUAAUUUGAGUUAAUUCAUCUACUUGGAGAGGAGCCCUGCUGUGGAGUGCUGAUGACAAAAUGGCAUUCUGCAUUUCUCCUAGUUACAGCUUCACUGGCCUGUUUUAUUGCAGUAUGGAUAAAAAAGUAUUGGAUACAAAACCAUAAAUGCUAGGAGAGGACAGACUGCAGCUAUGGCACUGUCUCCAGUGACAGCUUCAGAAAACACAAGGAUGCAGAUCUCUCAGCCUGUAAUUAUUUCCAUGCUCUGAGCAGCUUCCCUAUGCAUUGGUCUGACGUUGCUCCGUGGAAUUGUUUGUGCUGCCCUUGGCCAUGUUAGAUCACUGAGCACAAGCACUGUGACACCCUUUCUCAAGGUUUUUAACACAAGGCUGGAAAAACUCAUUGUGUUCUCCCUAUAAAAUUAAGGGGUCUCCUUAGAAAACAAAGGCAAGACCCCUCAGUCUUCACUGGGACCAUGACUCAGCUCAGUAGUAGGAUCUGAACAUCAUUUUGCACUGUAACAGAAAUAGCCACUUCAGCUCUUCCUUGAUGCUUAGUCUUAAAUGUACAGUAAAUAAAACCCAAUACUACAUAAAGGGACGGGUCACGUCUGUUCCUGCUCCCAAGCCAGCCAUGCCCCAGGAUGAGUAUUGCAUACACUGUACACAAUCAAGCUGUGAUUCUGCCUUCUUAUACACCCUUUGAGUAUUCUCCUUUUGUCAAAAAUAUCUAUGCAGAUAUUUUAAAUAGAAGCUUGAGAUAUUAAAUAUAUAUUUUUUUAAUUUGUUGAUUUGGGUAGGGGUGGGCAUUGUAUGAAAACACUGGAGGGAGAAGAGAUUAAGUGACACUAAGCCAGCCCUGCCAUGCAGAUCUAUUCCCUUCCAAACACCUUCUGAGAGAAGAAGGAAAAAAUUAAGGAUUGCUAGGAGAAAGCAAAUAAAUGAAUUUUCCUUUUCAUCCCUUUUAAGUUAAAAAGGCAUCUUUCUUUCUCAUUGUCAGUAUGCAGGCUGAGCAUUCUUUUCUUCUUUUAUAUACAUAUGCCUAUAUAUAUAUAUAUAUGUAUAGAUGUGUGUAUAUAUCUAUAUACACACACAUAUAUAUAUUUGUACUGCUGUUUAAACUGUUGGGGUGUUGCUGUAAAUAAGAUAGCUGAGUAGUAGUUGUUUAGGGAUUCCUGUUCAGCUUUAGUAAUUUAUUGGUUAUCAGAAGUCAAAUGUGCAAAAUCCUUUGCUGGAAAAUUCCAAAUCUGAUUUCUUGUUUUGUUUUGCAGCUGGACAUGUAAAUACAAA